rnacentral:rRNA from 1 species
AUGUGCCGGAACCUGACCUCUAUCUCCUCAAACUUCUGGUGGGGAUCGGCCCAUGGAGAAAACAAGGUGCACUGGGUAGCCUGGGACAAAAUGUGCUUGUCAAAGCGAGAUGGCGGUAUGGGGUUCCGUAACUUUGAGGUCUUCAACCAGGCUUUGUUGGGCAAGCAAGCCUGGAGGAUUUUACAAACCCUGGACUCGCAAGAUAUUUCAAAGACUCCUCAAUUAUGA